rnacentral:rRNA from 1 species
GACGAACGCUGGCGGCGUGCUUAACACAUGCAAGUCGAGCGGAAGGCCCUGCUUUUGUGGGGUGCUCGAGUGGCGAACGGGUGAGUAACACGUGAGUAACCUGCCCUUGACUUUGGGAUAACUUCAGGAAACUGGGGCUAAUACCGGAUAGGAGCUCCUGCUGCAUGGUGGGGGUUGGAAAGUUUCGGCGGUUGGGGAUGGACUCGCGGCUUAUCAGCUUGUUGGUGGGGUAGUGGCUUACCAAGGCUUUGACGGGUAGCCGGCCUGAGAGGGUGACCGGCCACAUUGGGACUGAGAUACGGCCCAGACUCCUACGGGAGGCAGCAGUGGGGAAUAUUGCACAAUGGGCGGAAGCCUGAUGCAGCAACGCCGCGUGCGGGAUGACGGCCUUCGGGUUGUAAACCGCUUUCGCCUGUGACGAAGCGUGAGUGACGGUAAUGGGUAAAGAAGCACCGGCUAACUACGUG